AGUAAAAGUCGUAACAAGGUUUCCGUAGGUGAACCUGCGGAAGGAUCAUUAAUGAAGUAUUGAAGGGGUUGUGCUGGCUCUUAGGAGCAUGUGCACGCCUUUUCGACUCUUAUCUAUUCACCUGUGCACUUUUGUAGGCCUUGGAUAUCUUCUGGAUGGGGUACAUUUCGGUUUGAAGGGUUGCAUUAGUGCUCUCUUUGCUUUCCACUUGUUGGGAUACCUUUCGAAUGUACACUUCAGUUUCCAGGUCUAUGUUUAUAUACCCUUUUAUAAUGUCUAGAAUGUCUUUACUGCGUCGACUUUAAUUAGAAGACCUUUAAAAUUAUACAACUUUCAGCAACGGAUCUCUUGGCUCUCGCAUCGAUGAAGAACGCAGCGAAAUGCGAUAAGUAAUGUGAAUUGCAGAAUUCAGUGAAUCAUCGAAUCUUUGAACGCACCUUGCGCUCCUUGGUAUUCCGAGGAGCAUGCCUGUUUGAGUGUCAUUAAAUUAUCAACUUCAUCAGCUUUUACUAGUUGACUGAAGCUUGGAUGUGGGGGCUGCGGGCUUUUCGAAGUCGGCUCCCCUUAAAUGAAUUAGUGGAAACCGCUUGUUGACCUUCACUGGUGUGAUAAUAUCUACGCCUUUGCUUGGACUACAGCUUUUCUUUGACUCAGUCUAAUGGAUACCUUUUGGAUGUACAGUUUCGGUUUGAAGGGUUGCAUUUAUGCUCUCUUUGCUUUCCACUUGUUGGAUACCAUUCGGAUUUGUACACUUCAGUUUGAAGGGCUGCACUUGUGCUCCCUUUGUUGUCCAGAUAUAAUGUCUUUGAAGAGUAAGGAUGUCUGCUUCUAACUGUCUGCAAGGACAACUUUGACAAUUUGACCUCAAAUCAGGUAGGACUACCC
rnacentral:rRNA from 1 species